rnacentral:rRNA from 1 species
UACGUAGGGGGCAAGCGUUGUCCGGAUUUAUUGGGCGUAAAGAGCGUGUAGGCGGCCUGAAAGGUCAGCUGUGAAAACUCGAGGCUCAACCUCGAGACGUCGGUUGAAACCAUCUGGCUAGAGUCCGGAAGAGGAGUGUGGAAUUCCCGGUGUAGCGGUGAAAUGCGCAGAUAUCGGGAAGAACACCCGUGGCGAAGGCGGUCUGCUGGGCAGUUGCUGACACUGAGGCGCGACAGCGUGGGGAGCAAACAGG